rnacentral:rRNA from 1 species
AACGAACGCUGGCGGCAUGCCUAACACAUGCAAGUCGAACGAGACCUUCGGGUCUAGUGGCGCACGGGUGCGUAACGCGUGGGAACCUGCCCUUAGGUUCGGAAUAACUCCCCGAAAGGGGUGCUAAUACCCGAUAAUGUCUUCGGACCAAAGAUUUAUCGCCUUUGGAUGGGCCCGCGUUGGAUUAGCUAGUUGGUAGGGUAAAAGCCUACCAAGGCGACGAUCCAUAGCUGGUCUGAGAGGAUGAUCAGCCACACUGGGACUGAGACACGGCCCAGACUCCUACGGGAGGCAGCAGUGGGGAAUAUUGGACAAUGGGCGAAAGCCUGAUCCAGCAAUGCCGCGUGAGUGAUGAAGGCCUUAGGGUUGUAAAGCUCUUUUACCCGGGAUGAUAAUGACAGUACCGGGAGAAUAAGCUCCGGCUAACUCCGUG